AGAAAAGCAGAAAGCUACAAGGAUCCUGGAACUCUGAUGAAUUUUUGAACUAUCAUACCCUGGACUGCUGCUGCUUUAAGCUUUCUGAAAUUGUGAAAUAGAACACACAUUUAGAAAAGUGCACAGUGAUAGAUGUACAGUGUAAUGAAUUAAGGUGCAGAGAUCUAUGCUGGUGUUGUGGAACAGGCCAAGGGAUAUACAGUAUGCUUGCUCUCAUGGAGCUCACAGUCUUCUUCAGGAAGCCAAUGAUACAGGGGAAUUGAGGAGCAUUCAAGGGCAACUGUCUCAAAGUGAGGAGCUUUCCUUUGGCAGUGAAGGCCUGCACAUCAUGAUUCUUGAAAAUGAACUUGUUUCCUUGUGAAACAGUGUGUGUGUUCUGAUUUCAACAUACGUUUUAUUUGUUUUACUUUUGAUCACCAAAAGUCCCCCAAAUUAUAUGUAACAGGAUUUUGUUCACUGGUUCUAUAUUCAGCCACAGGAGGGGAUACUUUUAACUUAAAAGUAUCAAAAAUUCUAAUCUCUGUCUUUAAAAAUCAUACUUUAGAAUCACAUUUUUCUGGGGCUCCUGGGUGGCUCAGUCAGUUAAGCAUCCGACUUUGGCUCAGGUCAUGAUCUCACAGCUUGUGAGUUCAAGACCCGCAUCGGGCUCUGUGCUGACAGCUCAGAGCC